rnacentral:tRNA from 1 species
GCCGCGAUGGUCUAAUGGUAUGAUUCUCGCUUAGGGCGCGAGAGAUCCCGGGUUCUAUCCCGGUUGCGGCC